UGCUUCAAGUACACCACUGAACUCUGAUCUGCCUGAAGUGAUUACAUAAAAAAACAUAAUCACCUGUCUUGAAAUACAAAGCGUUCUUUGUGGAGUUACAGUAAUUAAGUUUUUAACAUCUGACAACCUGGAUUCUUCGCUUGAUUUUCUCUCAAGCUGUGCAGUCUGAAUGAGGAAAACAAAGCGUCUAAGUGAAUCUCGCAGAGUACUCAUCGACGAAAUGAUUUUGACUUUGCGAAAUGACCUGAGAGACGCUAAAAAAACAUUUUUUUUAAAAAAAGCACAUCUGAGCUGCCACAGAGCGCCGGAGAUCUUUUCUCCCUUUCCCCAUUCGAUUCAAGAAGUUUUCGUCUAGCCUCCUUGAACAAGUGUUCAGCUUUCCAGCUUCUUCACCCCCCUCUAAGAAGAGCCCAUGCUCCAUCUUGUGAAAACGUACACGCAAACACACAGGGACACACACACAGGACACAAAGACUCACUUCCAUGGACACACAGUCGGUGGGAACAAUAGACGUAGAGGGGACACCUGCUGGUCUAACACACCCCGUCCUCCUCCCUCCAUUCUUUCUAUUAAGAUUCUCUGUGGGUAGUUUAGCCAUGCAUGUCGUCGUGAAAUCCAGUGAAUGAUAAUGAACUGGGCAAAGUGGAGAGUUUUUGUGUGUGAAUGGACCGAGAAGAGGAGGAGGCUUGUUGAAUCAGUCCCUCCAUCCCCAGAAUUCCAUCCAUCCAUCCGGUCCUCCUCCGUUACCUCACCGCCUCCUCUUCCUCCUCCUCCUCCUCCUCCUCCUCCUUGUCGGUGGUGUGUCGGCUGGAGGGACGGCCCCCGUGCUCUGACACAACUCACACACGCAGACACACACCUCCGCGAUGUGUCACUACCCAUUCCACCUGCCUCUUCCCGUCAUUCCCCGUUCGCCGCUCCAUCUGCCCACACUUGCUGCUCUUCCCUCCCUCGGUUUUUAACCCUUAUUUAUUCAUUUCAUUUAUUCUGUCCUGAGUCCUUCCUUUCACUCCUCCUUGCCCUCCAUCACCACCACCACCACACACACACUACACACACCAUGUGUCACCACCACAGAGAAGAAAGAAACAUGCUCCAGUCGACAAGUGAAAGAGACGAAGAGGAAGAAGACAGCAAAGUGUGGAGCGCGUGUGGAGCCCGGCGACGCCACCGUCCGCCUCCAGCCGGAGCCUCCUUUGAUGGAAUAUCCCGGACGGCGGCGCGCGGAAGGAGGGAGCAGAAGAAAGGAGAGGAGAGGAGAAGAUUAACGGGGCUGAGAAAACGGGACAGGCAGCGAUCGCCUCGAGAGGGUACGAAGACUCACAAUGAAAGAAAAAAAUAUAUAUUUAUGACGUUCUCUUGCCAAUCAUGUCUCUUUAACAACUUCGGCGCUUUCUUCUGUCGCUUUCGGCGUUCUCCAUUCGGGUGUUCAUCUCCCGCUCUGCAGCUGCAGCUCCAGUUUGUCCACAGGCUCUGUUUGGGACUUUGACUAAUUGUGAAGCCAUUUCCAGGACUUGGGCGAAGACGAGCCUUUCCUCCUCCUCCUCCUCAACCUCCCCACUAUUCCUUUUUUCAUUCUAAUUAAUUCCCCCCUGUGCAGACCCUCAAAGAAUCCCUCUGUCUUUCACUUUCUGUAAGUCUAACUAAUUCUCCCUUGAACCCCAUGUGCUGUAUUCUCCGGGCUCCCCCCAUCUGUCUGCCUUUGAGAGGCAAAUAAUUGGACGUGGAGAUUGGCUUUUCUCUGCCGAAGCCAGAGGACAGAGGCACAAUUACACACACACACGCACACACACACCUGGAGCGGAGUAUGUGUGCAGUGGUGCUCUGUGUUGUGUAUUUUAUCUCAACGCUAGAGUUGAAAGUUUCUGCAGAAAUGUUCUGAUGUGGUUAUGUGGGUUAUGUUCCAAAGACGACCCAGGCGUAGUGGGUUUGCUCUGACUUUUCAAAGUUGUACGUGGUUUAAAUAUCGUUUUGCUUGUUUUGUGUGGCUAAAGAAGGUGAAAAUCAUUCUUGCAUCCACAUUUAUGUCGGUUUCCCACUUUGACCUUUUGGUACUUUGGCAGUUUUUUUUUUAUUUUUUUUUUUAAUCAGAAACAACUUUCUCACAUGCAAGCAAGAAAAUUCCAAGGGGAAUGUUUUCCACUAAAUUUGAUUGUUCCAUUUUUUUCUGUUUAUUGUUCAUACUCUUCAGUACCAAAAUGUGGUUAUGCGAUAUGGAUAAAUGUUACCUAUCGUGUAUCUGAAGGUCAUGGUCUCUCAUACUGCGGGAGAGCAGACAAAUCAAACCAGGACUGGAACCACAAUUGGUGAAAAACAAGAAAUUUAAAAUAUAUUUAUGAUAAUUUAUCUCAUUAAGUGAUCAAAAAUAGCUAACCAAAUAAAUAUACUGAAAUAUAAUGCUUAGAUGCGUGGGUAGAAAAUGGAAAUAGAUUAGGAGGAAAUUGAAAAAUCCGGGUAAUGACUGGUCAAACCGACCGGACGUUCUAUAUUGUAGGUAAAAUAUUGCGAUUAAAGGUUAAAGAAAAAAUAUUUGCUGGUUUUGGUAAAGAAAGUACCAAUGUUUAGCUAAUUAGAAAAAAAAAAAAUUCAGACAUCCUCUGAGAUAUUUGCCGCAUUGGUGAAAUUUCAUUUUCACUCGCCAGCUUGUAAGGAUUUAUUUCUGCGAGUUUCCCAAGUGAACUCAUCUGUUUGACUUAAAACAAUGAAGAGACUUGUUGAGGCGAGGAUGAAGAAGACGCAGCGGAGGUGUUGAAGUGGGAAAACCUGGGAUGUGUUGCCAUGCUGGCCACAUGUGGCCUGUUGGAGGAGAUUAGGGCAUGAAUGGGAGGCUUUUCGCUCCGCCUCACUCGGAGGCUAGAUGCCAAGUCUCAGAGACCUAACGCAAACUCACCAAAAAGAACCAAUCAGAUUGUCUGCUGUAGACAUUUUCCUACACACAAUUAACAAAAUGGGGACUCUAACGUGUUCCUGGCGUAUCCGGCAGUUUUGUCAGCACUCUGUUCAGAAUCUCAUGCCGUAUAAUUCACAGUCUUUUCUUCUCUCCAUUCUCUCCACCUUCCCGCCCAACCAUACAUCUCCCUCCUCCUCUUCCUCAUCCUCCUCACGCUCAUACUCCUACUGCACAGCUCCAUCGAGUCCAGCCUCACACACAAACACACACACACACGCACACACACACACACACACGCACACACUUUGCUGUGAAGCGUGCACAUGUGUGGGCACUCACCACAAGUGCAUGUGUGAGUGUGAGGAUUCAGCCGAUCGGACAGACACAGCGGCGGCUUGGAGGUCCUUGUGGAUGCGACACGUCAGGUAGACCAUGCCCUUCACCUGUGCCUGCUUCUGUGGUCUGAAUGGCUUCUGCCGCAGACGAAAGAAGAAAAAACAGGACCAAGCAUCAGAAGAGGAGGUUGACGAGGACGGGCAUCACCGGGAUGAGGAAACGGUGGUGUGACUGCAGCGCUGUUGGCUGAACUCUCUCCAUCUUUAAAACACUGUAACAUAAGACCAAGGUUACAAGUCUGCAUAUCACGUGUCUGGGAAUGUUCCCAUAAAGGAAGUGAAGGGGUUUCAGGUUUCAAAUACAUAUUUUUAUUCAGGUGUUUCAUGGAAAAGAUUUCAUGUUCUACUUCUUUUUCUACGCUCACAAACCAAAAGGCCAUCCAAAUUUGUCCUCAUGAUAAGAAUGAUGAAAAUGAAAGCCUCUGAACUCUUUGCUCAUCCUCCAUUCCCCAAACCUGCUAUGCUCUAAUUUUCCCUGGGCAGCUGACUGAGAACUUUGCUUUUGCUGAUAAUAUUCAAAAGAUAAAAAAGAAAAAAAAAAGGUCUGAUUCAUUUCUUGCCAGAGUGCGAAGAGACUAAGGUCUCUCAAAAUCCAUUAUUCUGUUCAGGCACACCUCUCCUCGACGCCCCGGCUUUCUCUUCUCUACCCUAAUUGCGCCUCCUCUGCGGCGGCUGGAUUGGAACCGAAGCUCCGUGGAGUUCUGCACCUACUCACCUGCUUACUUACGUCAGAUCGACUUAGCGAAAACUUCAGCCGAGUAAGAAAGUGUAGAGCAAUUUCCAGAGUCGCCCGCUGAGGGGCCCCGAGCCCAUCUCGGAUUUUCAUGCUGAGCUGACCCCGAUCUAAAGCCAAAGCAGCUGUCCAAUCAGUGGCUUAGCUGGAGUGUGAAGAAGGGAGUCAAGGGUCAGAAUGAGAAACAGGGGUUUAGGGAACAUCACUCCCCUGGUGCUGCGGCUUCUCUAAUAUCCGGAUGAGUAAUUACCGAGAGGAACACCCACAAAUGCAGAUGCUUCAAUUAAUGUCUGUCCUUGUGGGAGUCGAGUCUCUCCCCGUAAAUGCCACCACAAUGCACUUCCAGCUGUCACCUGUUAGAGGGCACAGCAACGCAAGCAUGCUAGGGUGCUCAUGUUUCUUCUUGGCUGCCAGAAUGGUGCUUUCAAAGUAGAAACAAGUGGUUGACAUAUCUUCUGCCGCCAUGCCGCAGGCUUUCCCGGGCGCAUCCGGACGCCCAAAGACAAAAGGCCAGCGCACUGGUCUCAUUAGCAUGCGUGAUUAUGCAUUGCACGUCCAGUCAGGCGGUGGAGAUGUAAUUAACCUUUUCCAGCAGGAAACAGAUGCCUGGAUGUCACACACACACACAAACACACACAUAAACACACGCAUACACACACAUCUGCUGUCAGGGAAACAAAGCCGACGUCACGGUGUCACGGAAACAAAGCCCCGAAUGCGCCGCCUGGCACUUUCUGAUAAUCCCCUCACGCAUAUUUACAUUCAUGGCUUAGAAUACGCCUCGGUGACACCGCCUCCACCCUCCUACCCCCUUCACCUCUUUCCUCAGUUGGCACCCACCAACCCAAGUCACACCUUUUCUGUUCUUUUCACCUCAACCGCCCCCCUAGUAGUCUCAUCCCUGGUAUCUUCCUCUUUUUCAUCAUCUCUCCUUAAACGUUCUCCUUGGUCGAAUUCAUCCAUUUAUUAUCAGUGGAUGGUACAUGGCCCUGCAUGGCAGCUCCCGUAGAUUAGCCCCCACUCUUGCUUUCCCAUAUCAGGGAUUUCUUCAGGCAGGUAAGAAAGUGAAGAAAGACGCUGCUUUACGACAGAUUAAUGGACGGAGCUGAUUGCGCCUGUUGGUGUGGCUUUGCGCCUGAGCUGAAUCGACUGUUUACUCGUUCUCCCGCCACUACGAGCGGCGAAAUGAAACAAAGCGAAAGCCAUUUCACAGUGUAGAGCACCUAUUAUGAUUCAGUGUGUUACGGCGCGGCCCUAAUGAGAAAGAGAGAAAACGAGAGGAGGAGCAGAAGGAGGAGAGGAAGAGACAGUAAUGAAAGCGAGUUGGAUAGAGGAGGGAGGGGGCUAACGCUAGACAGAGCAGUCAUGCUAAUUGGCUACAGUGGAUAACUUUCUUCAGCGAAAAUGAAGGUGUGUGGUUAAAAGAACGGCCUUAUCUGUCAGAGCGUUAAAUGCUCUCAUUUAACGCUCCCUCCAUUUCACCUCUUUUAAUGAGAGGAAUAUUCACCGCGAUACUGACAAAGAACUCUGAGUUGACGGCAAUUUAUUGCUGAGGUACGCCGCGCUCCGAGACGGGGCUGAGGCAAGGCGCUCUCGUUGCCCCAGCCUCCUGCUAUGGAUCAUGACAAUUUUCAGGGAUUGUAACUCAAGGACAAACAGCUAAAAAUAGAAGGGUGGUGCACGACUCCUGUGGUAGCGUUGAAGGGAGGAGGUGAGUAACCGGAGUGAUGGGGGAAGGGGGACCGCGAAAACAGGUCCUGUCGCAUUAGAUUUGGGUCAGAGGCGAGGGAAAAGCUGGCGAAGCGGAGAGCGUUCCAGACGGCUGGGAGAUUCAUCACCCGCCGCUCUGUGCUCCUCUCCUCUUUUAACACCUCGCCUUUCUCCUGCACACACCUGCACAGUCAGCGGCGGAGGGCUGGGACGCCAAGCGAGUCACACGGAAUAGACGGGGAAGGCAUUGCAAAACAUUUGAAAGAACAGCAAUAAAAAGAUACAAGGACUAGUACCAGGUUAGACAAGGAGGAUAGAAAGGUUAGUGUGUUGUAAGGUGCACCUUGCUUGGAUCACACCAUUUAAUUUAUGGCCUCCUGUUCAAGGCCCUCUUGUUGCAUUAUUCACAUGAUCCAAGGAGGCAAAACUUACUCUAGAACUGCAUCUGAGGUCCUGGAAAAAGUACAAAAAACCCACCAAGUUAAAAAACAAAAACAAAAUUCCAUCUAUGCGGAGCAGACACAAUGUGUCAUCAAAGUUUAUUAUGUAAAUAGAACCAGUACAGCAAAAGAAAAACUCUAGUUGUCCACUACAUUGGAAAUGGCUUGGAAGCGGGGCACAAUGAUGGACUGUUUGGGGUUCCAUAAUGGCAGAGCGGCAUUUGACCGGCUCAGUUGGAGGCAGAUCGUCUACAGAUGGCAAUUGGGAGAUAUUUGGUGGGAAAAAAAAGCUGAAAACAUGAAUCCAAUCCAGGUCCCAACAUUUAGUAAUCUGUGGAAAAACUCAAGAAUUUGUUGGAACCUAUGUUAAGACAUCUCAAUGCAAAACUGAGAUGGUUAGAUUGCCUUGUUGACUAAAACCAAUUGUUUAAAUGGAUUAUGUUUUCUUUUUAACUGAGGAUGUGAGCAGUUCAUAUGGUAAAGAAUAUUUUCUUAACUUCCUGUUUUAGAAAUGGACUGUUUUUCUGAGGAUUAAAACAAAUAAAAUAAUGACAUGCCAAGACCAAAGCAAGUGGCUGCGUUUCAUGUAAACACUCCUUAUAAACCGCCAAUAUCCUAUCAUAUUAGCCAGUAAUGUACCUUUACGCCUUGGUCAUUUAAACAAAGACUGUAGUUAUGAAUGGGCCACUGCGGUGUCCCUCCAACAGGAAACAUAUCAGGUGCAUUUGACAAGAGAUGCUAGCUGUGUUUCCAUGACAAAUGACAAAUGUGUGCAAAACUUUUCCCAUAAUUCUACACAGCAAAUUCAAAAGUGUUAAAUGUUUUGGUGUUAGUAGACUUUGUGCAAAAGCAGAGUUAAUUUUACUCUAAUAGAGUCACAUUCUGUUUCUGUAACUCUGGGGUGUAAAUUAUUAGUAGUUAAAAUCCAGUGUUAAAACAAACUGUUUCGUAUCAAAUUUAGAGGUGUUAAAAUAGAACCAAUAACUCUUGACUUCUGAACUCUGAACUCCUACAGCGGCUCUAACACUGAAGGAGUUAAUUCACUGCCUCCGCCUCAGAAUCAGAUUCCCACCAAAGCGAAGCGACAGAAGCCAAAUCAUUUCAGGACUAUUUACUUUCCACCUGUCUGAGUUUUUUACUGCGCUUGAACCAGUCUGGUUGAGGAUGAAUCUCCAGUCUCAGCCUAACCUCCCUCUCCUGAUCCCUCCAAGGAUUCUUCGAAGAUUCAAGUUCCAAAAAUGAUUAUGGAAGUGUUAAUAUCUUUGAAACCCUACAUUUCCAUAAUUGAGGCUUGUUGUUAAGAGUUGUAGUAAAAAUGUAUUCAUUCGUUCCAAUCCUCAUUGUUAUGUUUUUUGUUUGUUAUGAUCCAGAGUCCGACACUGGCUGUCCCACUCAGACUGAAGACUGUCUAAUGCAGUAGAGGAGCAUGUUGGUGUCUCCGGCCAAACGUCACGAACAGCCCAACAACCUGAAGACAAUCUGUUAGUGAGUGGACAUGUGUGGGGGAGUGCAGAGAGGAACUGUCUCUUACCAACAGAAACAUAAACCGGGUAAAAAAUGAUGGAUCUGAUUAUCAGGUUGUUCUGUUAUGUACUGAAAUAUCCAAUAAUCUUCCUGUUAAAAGAAAAUGUUAAAAGAAAGGUUGUUCUGUUAUGUACUGAAAUAUCCAGUAAUCUCCCUGUUAAAAGAAAAUGUACUCUAUCAUAUUACUUGAACUGCUUGCUUUACUUUCUCCACCUUGUACUUUGAACAAUUUCAUGCAUAUUGUAUUGAAGAAAAAUUUAUGAAGCAUACUGCAUUUUGUAUUGCACAGCUGAUAUGUUAGACCUUUUAAUAAGCGAUAUGUGAAUGAAAGCAACAUGUGAAACAUGCACAUUAUUCCACGUAAUAUGUUUUGUAAUUAUGGUGCACGUUUUGAAAUAAAUGCAUUUGA